GUACAAAAGCCAUCUUUUGGUUCGUUGUUCUUGUGGUUUUGAAGUUUUACAAAUAAGAGAAUGUAAUCGCUGUAUCUUGGUUGUUGAUUAUCAUUAUCCGUAGGCACCUUUGCAAGGCAAAACCAACUUGAGGACAAAGAGUUUAACUCUUAUCUCGGACUUGCAUCCAUUUUACUUGGCCUUACUUCCCCCAAUUUUGGUAAGGUUGGUAAGUUUAAAUUUUGUUAAAGAGAUCACUCAAAUCUAUUUUUCAACAACAACAAUCACUCCUGCUUUUCCCAUGUCACAGGUCCUCCCAACUGGUUGAGGUGUCAAAUGGUAGAGCCGGCCAUCGUUUUUAACACCUCCAGAUAAGGGUGUAAAGUGGUUUGAGCCCCUCACUGGUUCGAUUUGCCCCAUAUACGAGUUGAGCGGCUCAAGUGAGAGCUCAAGCACUCAAUUCGUGUUCGAGCCAAUUGCAAGCCACUGUAAAAAAUGCAUGGUUGAAAAUUCAAAAUUUAAUUUUUCCCCCCUAUAUUUAAGAAUUUUUUUUUUUUUUUUCGCAUUGAGAUUUUGCUCGUUGCCAUCUCCUUCAAUUUUUAACAUCCCUGCCUCUAGUCUAGACUUGUAGUGAUAAGAGCCUAUAGUUCUCCCAUAUCAUGGAAUUCGGAGCAAUAUACAAACAGAAAUGUCCAAGAAUUGGAAAAACAGGUAUCAUGGCGAUCAAAAUUUAGAGCAUGUAAAUCGAAUUGGAGCCUGACAGGAAAUUUUAUGCUGUCGAGCAUAUAGUCAAGUUAGUAGCUCCAAUAUCAGCCCCACAAUCCAAGAGUAUAACCUCCUUCGUACACUCGAAUAUGAAUAAUUUGAUGUUAACAGGAAUUCACGCUGUCUCAGAAUAUAUAGACAGGUCAGGUAUUAUCUGCCCUUCUGCGCCUCCACAGUAAAAAGUUUGUGCUCAAAGAUAAUAUGCUUAGGAAUAUGUUAGUUAAUUCUAAAUGCUGUGAAAUUAGCAGAAUUUGGGUUUUCGUGGUUCUUCAUGAAUCCGGCUAGUUUGCUUGUGUUAGUCCCAAGGUAAUUACUUAUAAUUUAUAUCAUAAUUACAUGUAUGAUGGAUUUUCGUGGAUAUUUGGAGUCUAGGCUUAAGCAUUCUUGAGCUUACUUGGGUAGUAGAUAUCCACAUAAUUCCCAGUCAGCAUUUCUAACUCUUUUUAAAUUUUUUUGCAUUUUCUAGCCUAUUUUUCAAAAUCUAGCUCUGUUGAAUUAUCAUUAAGGAUGUUUAAAUUUAUCGUUUCGGCUUAUAUACAUGGUCAAAUGAUGCUUCUUUAUACAACUAAUACUGGAUCUUAUUGGUAAGUUGAUGGCUUGGCGUUGGAACUGGAUUUCAAAUGUCAGAAAAAUAGGACGCAAGCUGAAAAUUUAGAGGCACUGAUAUGCUUCCAUUUUUCCAUAUUAUUCAAGUCGUGUCUAAGAUAAAACUCAUAGUAUAAAGGAGUAGUUUUGAUGCUGCAUCUCUAAAAGUGGGACAUGAUUCCCUUCCAGUUCUGCCUUAAGCAAUACAUACAGAAUAAGUCGCAUGCUUCAUGUAUUGCAACCACAAUUCAAAUAAAAAUGUCAUGAAAAUCAAAUUAAAGUGCCUGAAUGCUUUUGGCUUAUUGCUGGCUUUGUAUUGACUACCUCAGGGAUUAAUUAUGCAUGCCAUAGCCGUCAGCACCUGUAGGAAAGCCAUACAAGAAUCAUCAAAUAAGGUCAUGUUUACUUGUCUGUUUGUAUGUAAAAUUUGUUGUAUAAAAUAUCUGUGCAUAUUGACGGUUAAUCUGGCAUCAAAACAUAUGCCCCAUGUCAUGCAGCAUUCAAUAUACUAAAAUGCGAAUCUAACUUAGUGGAGGAAUGCCUUGUCUCGGUGUGUGGAAGCGAUGGUGGAACUUGGAAUAGACAUAUACCAUACCUCAUGCAUUGACAUUCUCAACUUGGGAUCGCAGUCGAGACAUUGCUCUGCCAGACGAACCAUCCAAAACAACUGGUAAAGGUCAACAGAAUCUUGCACUGCAGGAUCUAUCAGUUCCAUGUACUUUUUCUCACUCAGGAUUGGUCUCGCCUGAGGAAAAAAACAGAGAUCCAUUGGGGCCCAAUGACUUGAAGAUAGAUUUCGUCCAAAGUAAAGAUUUUAGAUUAAGGAUCUUCAAAAUAAGAAUGCUGUAGUUAUUACCCAUCUCAAGAAGCUUUGCCCCUUUGUAUCUUCAAG
rnacentral:lncRNA from 1 species